AAUUAAGUGGAGAGUAAUGAAUGUCUUGCUCCCGCAAAUGGAGGAAGGCUUACGGAGGUCUUGGUCCCAAACAUGGGGAAGCUUACGGGAGGUCCUGCUCCCAAACAUAGGGAAGGCUUACGAGAGGUAUCAUAUGUUGAUUGCUCUGCCGUUGACUCUCAUAAACUGGAAUGAAGUGGAGAGUAACGAAUGUCUUGCUCCCGCAUAUGGGAAGACUUAUGAGGGUCCUGCUUCCACACAUGAGAGAGACUUACGGAAGGUUCUACUUCCACACAUGGGAGGAGACUUACAAUAUAACAUGUAGAAUCAUAGAUAUGAUAUAAAUGUAGAUGAUGAAUGUAACCAUUUGUGAGAGUCUCUCACUAUUAUACAUUAUAUGAAUAUACAUAUAUUUAAGACGGUAUAACCACCCAUUGAUAUCUCUUGCGGGUUCUUUUCCUCAAAUAUAAAGAUACAUACAUAGGCAAGUACAAAUAAUGAAACCCCCUGAAUAUAGAAAACAAAAAUAAACGAGACAAAGUAAAACAUUUUGUAAAACAUUUUGUUUAAUAGUAUUUCCCUAUCAAAUUGACGUAGUCCAAGUGCUGAUUGAGUACCGAUUCCCAGCCUAACAUUUCAUCAAAUCAAAUAUGUUCUUAAUAUUAUUUUCAUCGAAAGAGAGAGUAGGGAACUCAGUAGAUCAUUAACAGACUUUUGGCCAGCUACACACAAUAUAUUUUGCUUAUAAUACACCUUAACUAACAUGGCUCAACAGUUUGGAAAACACAAUAAAAUAUUCAAUUUCAAGUAUAUUAAUCGUGAAAAUCUGGAUUUUAUGCUGAUAAUGUGACACUAAAGAAAUCCCCCAACUUCAUUUAAUCAGACACUUCACGUGCAAUUCGAUUCAGGAUUACACUAUAUGCUUAACAGGUGAUAACCAUAUACUGCGCUCAACUUGGAUAGAAAAGCAGAGUUAUUACAUCAAGUCAAUAGGGAGGACGUUUACGAAUCUGAUUCCAAAAACCUAUCUCAUAAAUAUAAUUUGAAACAAAUCUAUAUCACAAUUACACCCUCUUGUUGUUGUUGAGUGUUUAUAAAAAUUAUAGUCCAUAAUUGAAAGAUUCUUGAAAUUAUUAAGCAAAAAUGGAAAAAAAGAAAGAGAGAAAUGAACCGGGAGAGUUUGAACGUGUCCGAACAUGGCCUCUCCACAUUAGAAAUUGAAACGCUUUUAAUGCAAUAAUCCAACAGCCAAGGAAACAUUUUCCUGCCAAAUAUCAAAAGAACAAUUAAACUCCAAGAUUCCUUGCAGAGCAGUGGAGAAUAAUCUUUUCGUGGGUUCUUUUAACCCAAUAUUUUUAAUGAUAACAAUCUUGCAGAUUGAUACUAAAGUUCAGUUAAACUUGGAGAUAAUUUUUUUUGGGAACAUAGGGCAAGGGCAAACUGGUUGAGAUUAAGGGAUAAGAAUACGGCUUUCUUUCAAAACUUUGCGAUAAAUUGAGGGAUAAGAAUGAAUAGAAUAAGUGGGCUGCAAGGAGGGGAUGGGCGGUUUGCGAGAAAUUAUUUUGAAUCGAUGGCGGACUGAACGGUGGCGAAGUUGCUUUUGAAUCGAUAGAGGAAAGCAGAAAUGGUGAACACUCGAGAAGAGGUCUACUCCAAAGUUUCCUUCUGCUAUUGUCUUAGAUAUUUUGUUGCUAUUG
rnacentral:lncRNA from 1 species